UACGGGGGGGGCAAGCGUUGUUCGGAAUUACUGGGCGUAAAGGGCGCGUAGGCGGUUCGCUAAGUUGGAUGUGAAAACUCUGGGCUCAACCCAGAGCCUGCAUCCAAAACUGGCGGGCUAGAGUUCUGGAGGGGGUAGCGGAAUUCCUGGUGUAGCGGUGAAAUGCGUAGAUAUCAGGAGGAACACCGGUGGCGAAGGCGGCUACCUGGACAGAAACUGGCGCUGAGGCGCGAAAGCUAGGGGAGCAAACAGG
rnacentral:rRNA from 1 species